UUUCCUUAUCAACCCACUCAAAACUAAUGGGAGCAAGAGAGAACAGAGCAAAGGCUUUGGCAAGGCAGGGUCUUACAACAUCAAACUGUACUGAAGGCAGAUUUCCACAAAGUGCUUGCACAGCACAGAAAGUUUAAGUGUUGGCACCGAGACAGAAAUGGAUGUCUGACCCAAUAGUUCAUUUAUGCUCAUCUGUCACUGAAGAAGAUGGAUGCUGCAGAGGAGUUGAUUAGGCUGUGAUUCAUCAUUCCUCUUUCUAGAGCUCAGUUACA